AACGCUGGCGGCAGGCUUAACACAUGCAAGUCGAACGUGAAGCCGGGCUUCGGUCUGGUGGAAAGUGGCGCACGGGUGAGUAUCGCGUGGGAAUUUACCCAGCAGUUCGGAAUAACCCCGGGAAACCGGGGCUAAUACCGUAUACGCCCUUCGGGGGAAAGAUUUAUCGCUGUUGGAUGAGCCCGCGUCGGAUUAGCUUGUUGGUAGGGUAAAGGCCUACCAAGGCGACGAUCCGUAGCUGGUCUGAGAGGACGACCAGCCACACUGGGACUGAGACACGGCCCAGACUCC
rnacentral:rRNA from 2 species